rnacentral:piRNA from 1 species
UCAAAUCUAUUCUCUCAAAGUAAAUGCCUG